rnacentral:snoRNA from 1 species
GCAUGGGUGAAUUCUGCAUUGGCUUCUUCAGUAGCUAAUGCAGUCAGACACUAUGCUAGAGUAUAUUUCCUCCUCGCUUAUUCCUAAAGAUAUGCUUUGUGUUAAGCAUGUUCAUACAAGUAGGAUACACGA